UAGACAUUUUAGAGUGAAGAUAAAUCAUUACUCCACACUCCAGAUCAGUGGGUGGCGGUAAUUCGCCAGAAAGCUGUUUAUUAAACGUCAAUAGAAGAAGAUGAAGCCCCUUCACUUCCAGGUCAAUUUGAAAUGGUGAACCUUUGCUCUCGGUUUGAGCUCAGAGGAUUCAGACUGCCAAAAGUGAGAGCGAGCAGCUGUGAUCAUUACGAGCAUAAUGUUUAAGAAAAUUGUAGUCUGCAUAAUCUAUUUUAGAUCUUAAAAUGUGUUUAUUUCUGCAUAAUCUAUUUUACUUCGUAGAUGUGUUUAUUUCAUUCAAAGCAAUCAUAUUAUUUUCAUAACCAAGACGUGUGUCCAUUACAAAGAAAACAUUGUAUUAUGGGUCAGACAGCAACACAGCACGCAACAUGGGAAGCAAGGUCAUUUUGCUGCACAGAUCCUGGGAAGUUUGGUGAUAAACUCUUUCUGUCUCAUUAAGAGAAGGCGUUCUUCUCAGGAGUUAUAUCAAUUUGUCUGUAUCAUCCUUUCCUGUGGAAGUCUAUUAACAAAGAGUGUUAUUGUGAUGGUAAAGAGUUUCUUUUAUCAAGAACAUCUUUUCCAAGGGUAAAAGAAAGCUACAGAAAGGCAGGUGUCCUCUCUGUGUAAACAGUUGAAAUCGCUACGUUUCCCUGCAUGUAAUAACGUACCAACCAGAAAGUGUCCUUGUGUAACGGUGCCAUCAAGUGGGUAAAAGUGUAAUGGCAUACGAUCAGGUGAUGUUCAUAACCAAUCAGGGAUAGCCUGUCCUCUCAGGAGGAGCCUAGUACGGAAGGAGUAGUGUGAGAUUUAAAUGACAUCACUUAAACAGAUAGAUGAAGCCAGCAAUGGUUAGUAUUCCAUAUCUGAAAAGGGCUAUACUUUGUAUGGAUGUGAGGCUUGGCUUAAAGUGUCUCUGAAAUCUCUACAUGGAAGCACUUAACCUGAUUAGAGGCAGGGCUUCCUUCAGUAUAGGCUUUAGUAAGAGAAAAACAGGGCUAGUUCCUUUGCAAGAUAAAGCAUCAGCUUGGUACGCAUGAUGAUCCAUUGGAUUAUGAACUUUGUACUCUGUAAGUACUUUAUGUACUUUGUACUUACAAUAACAAUCUGAGCCUGUCAGUGGCAAAAACAAGCAGUUUUAGUGGAUGUACACUGACGGUGCACUGUUGCCCCAAAGGAUUAGCCUACAUUGUAGCCUGUUUAAGUACAUUUAAAAGUAGAAACUUUUUGACUUUUACUUAUAGGGUAUUAUCUGUACAAAAUGUAUUACAAUAUCAGUCAGGACAUUUUAUUACAUUAUGUUCCUAUGUUUUCGUGCAUAGUUGAGUCGCUUGGCCUUGUUUCCAUGUUGGAGAUAUGGCUUUUUGGCUGCAACUCUUCCAUGAAGACCACUUCUGGUCAGACUUCUCCGGACAGUAGAUGGGUGUAUGAAAUUGAUGAUCAUUAGCACCUGUUUGGUAUAACUGGUUGAUCAUACACCUGACUAUAAUCCUACAAAACCCCUGACUUUGUGCAUCGAUAAGAAUUGAUGCUGUGUUGAAGGCAAAUGGACUGUACUUAUAUAGCGCCUUUGACUACUCAAACUACAUAUCUCAUUCACACUGCUCAUUAAAUUAACUAAUCAUUCACACACCGAAGGUACAGCCCUCGGGAGCAAUGUGCCAAGGACAAAGUGGGCUGGGGGGAAGCUGGGAUUGAACCGCUGACCUUCCGAUGGGUGGACAACCCGCUCUGCCACUCAGCACAGUCGGCUUCAGGCCUUAUGCCUCUCCCUCGUACAGUCUGAAGAGGAGCUGAUGGACUACGUGACUGACAUUGCAGCAUUGUCAUGAGAUAUGUCAAGAUCAUCUCAAAUUUCAAGGCUACAAAUAAAGACCACAUGACGCCAUCAGAAAAUCGACAAUCCUACAAUCAAAGGCACUUUGUGCAGCGAUUGGCCAGGUGUGCGGAGGUGAGAAAAAAGGAAAAUGACAUGCAGACAGGAGGAACUGACUGGGGUAAUCUGAACAUUGAUGCUGGUUUGCAGAGUUGGAGAGGUGACAGCGGCUAACUUCAUGUGGGAGAGCAAGUUUUUCAGAGUCACAAGAUGAGUUGUGUGUCCUCUGUUAGUCCUGGUCACAAGUCGCUGGAGAUCUGGGUGAGGCAGGACUGCCCCAUUUCAUCGUAACGUAUUUCACACCAGUUUAAUAUUCUCACGUCCAGGUUACACAACCUGUACUGUACAGUGGUUUGAAAAAGUGUUUGCCCCCUUCCUGAUUUCUUAUUUUUCUUGUUUGUCACACUUAAAUGUUUCUGAUCAUCAAACAAAUUUAAAUAUUAG